ACAUGUGCUUUAUCACAUAUAAAAUAUAUCUGCUAGAUAAUUUGAAUACCUCACCAUGGGAGGUGAUUCCUAUAACUCUUACAUGCAAGUCUCAAUCUAUUAUUCUGAGUAAAGAGAGCAUGUCCAUCAAGGGAAGACAGGACAUGGGAGUCAUUCUUAAGUCCCCCACACCACUCUUUGCUCCAUCUGAGCCUCUUGAUGGCUUAUUUGAUUGAAAUUAUUUAGUGAAACUUAAUGCUGUGUAGAAUCUCUGAUGUAUGAGAAUCUGAUUUGACUAUCCAGUCAUGGUGUUAGCUUAGCUAUGAAUUAGAAUUCCAUGGGGAGUUUAAAAAAUACUCAUGUUCAAAAAUUCAUGGUGGAGGGAAAAGGAAAAGAAUCUGCUGAAGUGGUUUUUUGUUGUUGUUUUUUUUCUAUUAUUUAAUCCUGGCCUGGGAAAUAAAAAUGUAACCAAAAUGUAACCAAAGAGCUUCAGGUGACACCAGUUGCCGUGGAUUGAAGAGUGGGCCCCAAAAGAUUAGUCUAUGUCCAACUCCAGCAAGCUGUUGUCUGUGUCAGCUCGGGCUGCCAUAACAAAUCAACACAGACCUGGUGGCUUAGACAACAGACAUUUGCAGUCUUUAGAAAAGGUGCCACUGGACUCAGGUCCUGAUCAGAACCCUCUUUCUGGUUUGUAGUUGGCUGCCUUCUAGCUGUAUCUUCACCUGGUAGAGCUCGAGAGGCAACCUCUCUAGGGUCUCAGCUUACAAGGGUCCCAUUGUGGGGACUCCACUCUCGUGAUCUUAUCUAAGAUUAAUCAUGCCCUAAAGGCCCCACUUCCAGAUGCCAUCAUGUUGGAGGUGAAGGCUUCAGAUGCGAAUUUGGUGGGGGAGGGGGUCGGUGAGGGAGACAGGAUUCAGUUCAUAGUACCUGUAAACUUACUUGGGGGAAAAAAAGGUCUCUGUGGAUAUUAAGGAUCUUGAAAAGAGACCUUUUUGGAUUAUCCAGAUGGGCCCUAAAUCCAAAGGCAGGUGUCUUUUUAAGAGAAAGGCAGAGGGAGAUUAAACACAUGGAGGAAAAGGCCAGGCACACACAAAGGAAGAGACUGGAGUUACGUAGGGUCAAGCCAGGGAACACCUUUAGCCAACAAAGGUAGAAGAGGUAAGGACAGGGCCUCCCUCAGAGCCAUCAGGGGCAGCACAGCCCUGCUGACACCUUACUUCUGGCAUCCGGAAUAACUAAAAAUAAAUUUAUUGUGAGACAAUAAAUUUUUACUUUAAGCCCCAAACAAACAAACAAACAAACCAAAACAGUGCUCAGAUUCCACCCCUCCUAUCCAAUUAAAUCUCUAUCUUCUGGGAGUGAAGUCCUGACACUGCUGUUGUUUAAAGCCCCUGAGGUAGUAACUCUGCCAUGUAAUCAAAGCUGAGGAGCUCAAACUUAAAGUAUUUCCCCUUUCAGAGUUAUUAUCAUUUUAGCGAGGGUUUUUUUAUUCUGAAGGACCAAAAAUAUUCUUGACCGUCUAAAAAAUUAAUGUCUGAUGGCAGAUUAUUUAUAUCAGGGAAUGUAUCAGAAAUUAAGCAUAGUGUCAACGUGUAUCAGAGACUUCUGGAUCUGUUAAAAUCUGUCAUCACUUCCACUAUGACUGGAAAAUUAUUUUUUAAAAGAAAUUUGAAAAAUAGGCUGAAAGUCAUUAUGAAACAAUGGAGCAAUUUUAUUUCUUGAUAUUGCACUAAAGAGAAUCAUUCUAAAUUAGCCUGUGGUGUAACAUCCAAAAGCUGGGCGUUUUACUUCUUUUCUGUUAUAAAUUCCUAUAGUUUUUCUUUCCCAGCCUAUCCCCCUGAUCAAUAGUGAAUAAAUCUACUUUACCAAGUGAACUAAAGCAGCAAAAUAAUCAUAGUCUUCCAAGGAAAGAGAGACAGGUCAUCUAACCCCAGUCCUUCCAUUUGAACCUGCCAUCAGAAGGCAGUGAAGAAGGGUGCUUUUUCAUCUUAAUUUCUCAAGAAAAGAAUUAGUCCUCCAUACUAUUAAAUUGGCUUCAUCCUCAAAGAACAAAUGAGAGAUGAACUGCACUGAGCAAAGGGGCAUCGCGACACUUGGAAAGCCAUUUGCUGCAACAGGAAAUCAAUGUAAAGCAGUCUUACAACAUUGCAUGACAUUAAAUGUCUAUAAUCAUUUUCUUCUGCCUAACUUGUCGAGCUGUGUUCUGCCAGCAUUCUCCCUCUAUAAUCUCUCCCUAGGAAAGCUCAUCUUCUUGCACAACCGCAGGGAUCACUUAGGAACUAAUAGCUCUCAAAUCGCCAUCUCUCUCCCUGACAUCCCUUCUUAGCCCCAGAGGCUGUGUGGUGCAGUGGCUAAGAAAGUAAUACAGGCUUUAGAGUCAGACUGUGUUCAACUCCCAGCCACCACCCACAGGUUGAAUUACUUAUCUUCAAUAAGCCUCACUUUCAUCAUCCUUAAAUUGAGAAAAAUGCAUAUAGCUCAGUGCCUGGCAACAAGUACUUGGGAAAUGUUGUAUCUGCUAUAAUUAUUAUCAUUAGGCCUGUCCACGCAGAUGUCCCAGGAAUACCUCAAAUGCAAAACUGCUCAAAAUCGAAUUCAUUAUUUCCCCCAGGUGCAUGAUUCAACUCCGUGAGCUCUACCGUAUUUAAUAAAACCAUCAUCCUACCAAUUAGGCAGCCCCCGGGAAUCCUUUUGUUAUUCUUCCCUCUUCCCCAUUUCCCACUUACUUUUGGCGGCCACAUCUUGUUGCUCUACCUCUGCAUGACUCAUUAAUCCAUCUUCACCCAUCCCCACUGACAUGACCUGAAUUCCAGUCACCCUCCUCGUAAGGAGUUUUCUAGGCUCCAAUCUCUUGCCUGCAGGUUGCUGCCUGAUGUCCUCUGGCACCAUAGAUCUGACUGGAAAUGACUCUCCAGGCAGCUCAAAUGCUUUACUUUACAUGUAAAUUUAGAGAUUUCCAAAAUCAAGCCCCAACCAACCUAUCCAGCCUCAUCUGCCCUACAGUCUUCUAAGGAGGAUCUCAGUCACGCUUUGUUUAUGAUAAAUGACACUAAUAGGAGUCACCCAUUCCCAUUAUACAUAUACUAUACAUACGUAUAUGAUUAUGUGAUUCUGGUGUAUAUCUUUUAAAGUAAAUUGUGUGUAAAUUUGGUACGUUGUGGUUAGUUUGAAAAGGAUUACUGGAUUUUUAUCUCUCAUGUAAUCUUAAUAAGCUUUGGGGUGACUAUAUUAUGAAUCAGUAAUGCUAGCGAACAACUUAAAAUUCAAAUUAAGCUUAAAAGUUCGUUGUGACACCUCCCAGUGCACUCUUUUCCUUGAACUCUCUUUCCCAAACGUCUUACGGCCAUAACCCUUGACCUCCUAGCUCUUGCUGCCUAAACAUAUCGCAUUCCCUUGCCUCCUGAGCCUUGUUUGCCCUUCUUCAUCCUUAGUUACACUUACUCACCCUCCCACUAUCAGCUUAAUUAGUAGUCUCUCUUUGAAUAUUCUCCUUUUAUCAAAUGUAAUAUUAUUAUUUAUUUAAC
ensembl:lncRNA